CCUACGGGAGGCAGCAGUGGGGAAUAUUGGACAAUGGGGGGAACCCUGAUCCAGCCAUGCCGCGUGUGUGAAGAAGGCCCUCGGGUUGUAAAGCACUUUCAGUGAGGAAUAACGCCUGGUGGUUAAUACCCAUCAGGAAAGACAUCACUCACAGAAGAAGCACCGGCUAACUCCGUGCCAGCAGCCGCGGUAAUACGGAGGGUGCGAGCGUUAAUCGGAAUUACUGGGCGUAAAGCGCGCGUAGGUGGCUUGAUAAGCCGGUUGUGAAAGCCCCGGGCUCAACCUGGGAACGGCAUCCGGAACUGUCAAGCUAGAGUGCAGGAGAGGAAGGUAGAAUUCCCGGUGUAGCGGUGAAAUGCGUAGAGAUCGGGAGGAAUACCAGUGGCGAAGGCGGCCUUCUGGACUGACACUGACACUGAGGUGCGAAAGCGUGGGUAGCAAACAGGAUUAGAUACCCCAGUAGUC
rnacentral:rRNA from 1 species